rnacentral:rRNA from 1 species
AGUGAACGCUGGCGGCGUGCCUAACACAUGCAAGUCGAGCGGACGCACAGUAAGAGCUUGCCCUUACUGUUGGCGGCUGACGGACGGGUGACACGUACAUCGCCAUCUACUUUUUCUUGGAGGACAACGUGGGAACACAUCCGCUAAUACCGCAUACGACGUACCGCUUGGAUCAGGAGUUCUUCGGGCCUUUCGUGUCUCAUUGAGCCGAGGUCGCACUAGCUAGUUGGCGAGGUAAAGUCCCACCAAGGCAACGAUGCGUAGCAGAUCUGAGAGGAUGAUCGGCCACACUGGAACUGAGACACGGUCCAGACUCCUACGGGAGGCAGCAGUGGGGAAUAUUGGGCAAUGGGCGCAAGCCUGAUCCAGCCAUACCGCGUGGGUGAAGAAGGCCUUCGGGUUGUAAAGCCCUUUUGUUGGGAAAGAAAAGCAGUAGGUUAAUACCCCGCUGUUCUGACGGUACCCAAAGAAUAAGCACCGGCUAACUUCGUG